ensembl:lncRNA
GUUCUCCUUGUACUUUGGGGGUUUCCUCCAGGUACUCUGGUUUCCUCCCCCAGUCCAAAGACAUGCACUGAUUGGCAUCUCUAAAUUGUCCAUAGUGUAUGAAUGUGUGUGCAUUUGUGCCCUGCGAUGGUUGGCACCCUGUCCAGGGUGUCCCGAGUUCCCUGGGAUAGGCUCCAGGCUCCCUGAUGACCUGGUGUAUGAUAAGCGCCCAUCUUUCACCUGGAAAACGUGCAUUUAACUCCUAUACAAAGACUUCAGGUACAAAACUGGACUGCAAAGCUGUAAAGUUACCGCACAUGCACCUUUCUACUCAAAAGGGGAGGGGAAACCCCGUCACAUCCUCCGUGUCCAUAUAUGGGCAUGAAG